AACGAACGCUGGCGGCAUGCCUAACACAUGCAAGUCGAACGAGACCUUCGGGUCUAGUGGCGCACGGGUGCGUAACGCGUGGGAACCUGCCCUUAGGUUCGGAAUAACUCCCCGAAAGGGGUGCUAAUACCGGAUAAUGUCUUCGGACCAAAGAUUUAUCGCCUUUGGAUGGGCCCGCGUUGGAUUAGCUAGUUGGUAGGGUAAAAGCCUACCAAGGCGACGAUCCCUAGCUGGUCUGAGAGGAUGAUCAGCCACACUGGGACUGAGACACGGCCCAGACUCCUACGGGAGGCAGCAGUGGGGAAUAGUGGACAAGGGGCGAAAGCCUGAUCCAGCAAUGCCGCGUGAGUGAUGAAGGCCUUAGGGUUGUAAAGCUCUUUUACCCGGGAUGAUAAUGACAGUACCGGGAGAAUAAGCUCCGGCUAACUCCGUG
rnacentral:rRNA from 1 species